AUGGAGGCGAAGACAAGAGAGCUCAUUGCUAGAAGAACCACACCUCUUUUGGAAUAUAUUAAAAAUAGAAAAUUAGAAAAGCAGAGAAUUCGAGAAGAGAAGCGAGAAGAACGGAGGAGGAGAGAGUUAGAAAAGAAACGUUUGCGGGAAGAGGAAAAAAGAAGAAGAAGAGAAGAAGAAAGAUGCAAAAAAAAAAAGAGAGACAGAUAAACAGAAGAAAAUUGCAGAGAAAGAAGUAAGGAUUAAGCUUCUUAAGAAACCAGAAAAGGGAGAGGAACCAACCACAGAGAAACCAAAAGAAAGAGGAGAGGAGAUUGAUACUGGAGGUGGCAAGCAGGAAUCCUGUGCCCCCGGUGCAGUCGUAAAAGCCAGGCCCGUGGAAGGCUCGCUGGAGGAGCCCCAGGAGACGUCACACAGCGGCAGUGAUAAAGAGCACAGGGAUGUGGAGAGAUCUCAAGAACAAGAAUCUGAAGCACAAAGACACCAUGUGGAUGAUGGCAGGAGGCACAGAGCUCACCACGAGCCUGACCGGCUUUCCAGAGGGAGUGAGGAUGAGCAGAGAUGGGGGAAAGGACCUGGCCAAGACAGAGGGAAGAAGGGGAGCCAGGACAGCGGGGCUCCGGGGGAGGCCAUGGAGAGACUGGGAAGAGCGCAGAGGUGUGACGACAGUCCAGCACCCAGAAAAGAGCGACUGGCAAACAAGGACCGGCCAGCCUUGCAGCUGUAUGAUCCAGGAGCUCACUUCCGAGCGCUAGAGUGUGGCGGAAACAGGAGGAUCUGCAAGGCAGAAGGUUCGGGAACUGGUCCUGAGAAGAGGGAAGAGGCAGAGUGA
rnacentral:lncRNA from 1 species